rnacentral:rRNA from 1 species
UACGGAGGAUGCGAGCGUUAUCCGGAUUUAUUGGGUUUAAAGGGUGCGUAGGCGGCCUGCCAAGUCAGCGGUAAAAUUGCGGGGCUCAACCCCGUACAGCCGUUGAAACUGCCGGGCUCGAGUGGGCGAGAAGUAUGCGGAAUGCGUGGUGUAGCGGUGAAAUGCAUAGAUACCACGCAGAACCCCGAUUGCGAAGGCAGCAUACCGGCGCCCUACUGACGCUGAGGCACGAAAGUGCGGGGAUCAAACAGG